CUUCUAUUUGAUUUAGUAGCACAAACUUCAAAGAGAGUGCUGCGAUCAUUCAUAGCUCGGAUAUCAUGGUGGCGGUGCACCUGCUGUGACCCUGGAGAGAGGACUGCCAUCACCAGAUAUGGAAACACUCAACCUUGGUUCACGAGGUCGUAACUCACUCUUGAUCGAGUAUUUGAGUUAUUGUGACUCUUAGGUACUCCGGGAGUCAAGUUUCGUUGGUGUAGCGAUGUGUUGGGGCAUCGCAAAUCACUGUUACUAGGCUAAGCGUCGUCAGUAUUAAAAGCAUGCCUUGAUCGUA